CGCCCAUUAAAGCGGUACGCGAGCUGGGUUCAGAACGUCGUGAGACAGUUCGGUCCCUAUCCGUCGUGGGCGUAGGAAAUUUGAGAGGAGCUGUCCUUAGUACGAGAGGACCGGGAUGGACAUACCUCUGGUGUACCAGUUGUCGUGCCAACGGCAUAGCUGGGUAGCUAUGUAUGGACGGGAUAAGUGCUGAAAGCAUCUAAGCAUGAAGCCCCCCUCAAGAUGAGAUUUCCCAACUUCGGUUAUAAGAUCCCUCGAAGAUGACGAGGUUAAUAGGUUCGAGGUGGAAGCGUGGUGACACGUGGAGCUGACGAAUACUAAUCGAUCGAAGACUUAAUCAAUUUUUAAA
rnacentral:rRNA from 1 species